rnacentral:rRNA from 1 species
GACGGUACCCGAAGAAUAAGCCCCGGCUAACUUCGUGCCAGCAGCCGCGGUAAUACUAAGGGGGCUAGCGUUGUUCGGAAUUACUGGGCGUAAAGGGUGCGUAAGCGGUUCGUUAAGUCAGGUGUGAAAUCCCCGGGCUCAACUCGGAGGCUGCCUUCGAGACUGGACGGCUUGAGUGCGGGAGAGGUGAGUGGAAUUCCCGGUGUAGAGGUGAAAUGCGUAGAUAUUGGGAAGAACACCAGUGGCGAAGGCGGCUCACUGGACCGUUACUGACGCUGAGGCACUAAAGCGUGGGGAGCAAACAGGAUUAGAUACCCUGGUAGUCCACGCCAUAAACGAUGCUUGCUUGCCGU